GACGAACGCUGGCGGCGUGCUUAACACAUGCAAGUCGAACGGAAAGGCCCUGCUUUUGUGGGGUGCUCGAGUGGCGAACGGGUGAGUAACACGUGAGUAACCUGCCCUUGACUUUGGGAUAACUUCAGGAAACUGGGGCUAAUACCGGAUAGGAGCUCCUGCUGCAUGGUGGGGGUUGGAAAGUUUCGGCGGUUGGGGAUGGACUCGCGGCUUAUCAGCUUGUUGGUGGGGUAGUGGCUUACCAAGGCUUUGACGGGUAGCCGGCCGGAGAGGGUGGACGGGCACCUUGGGCCUGCGAUACGGCGCAGACUCCUACGGUAGGCAGCAGUGGCGAAUAUUGCACAAUGGGCGGAAGCCUGAUGCAGCAACGCCGCGUGCGGGAUGACGGCCUUCGGGUUGUAAACCGCUUUCGCCUGUGACGAAGCGUGAGUGACGGUAAUGGGUAAAGAAGCACCGGCUAACUACGUG
rnacentral:rRNA from 1 species